GCUUCUCCAGAAAAGUGCUUAGACCUGUUCCUCUGCACAGACUGUCAGGGGUCAGGGCCAUAGACAACGGCACAGGCAUUUUGCCUGGGGAGGUUCAAGCCCAAUACUCGCAUUAUUUAUUCAAAGAAACAAGUUCCCCAAACACCAUCACCCAGGCCCACUCAUCUUGUCAUGCAUAUCUUCCUAAAGAACUUCCCAAGAGACAAGGGUUCUAAGACAAAUGCAAGUAAACUGGAAAAGGUGAUUUCUAAGAAACUACAAUUCAGUUAAACAUUGAUGACAAAACGGCCAACUACGGAUCUAGAAGAAUAUACCGGUAGCCUUUUUCUGUGUCUGCUCCUUCCUGUGACAAUAAAACUAUGUCCUGAAUGGAUUAUAUUUCUAGUGGAACAAAAAUUUUAGCUAUCUAAAAG
rnacentral:lncRNA from 1 species